rnacentral:rRNA from 1 species
CAGCCGCCGCGGUAAUACCGGCGGCCCGAGUGGCGGCCACUAUUAUUGGGCUUAAAGCGUCCGUAGCCGGGUUGGUUAGUCUCCCGGGAAAUCUGGCCGCUUAACGGUCAGAAUUCCGGGAGAUACUGCCAGCCUAGGGACCGGGAGAGGCCGAGGGUAUUCCCGGAGUAGGGGUGAAAUCCUAUAAUCCCGGGAGGACCACCUGUGGCGAAGGCGCUCGGCUGGAACGCGUCCGACGGUGAGGGACGAAGGCCAGGGGAGCAAACCGGAUUAGAUACCCGGGUAGUCCUGGCUGUAAACGAUGCGGACUUUGUGUCGGACAAGCUAUGAGCUUGUCCGGUGCCGGAGGGAAACCGUUAAGUCCGCCGCCUGGGGAGUACGGCCGCAAGGUUGAAACUUAAAGGAAUUGGCGGG